AAGGUCGUCGGCUGCACUCCUUUGCGUCGUAUCUGGUAGGUGCUUUCAUUUCCCCACUAGUUUGUUCUUGUAUGGUUUUGAGCUUUCAUGGUACCGGUUUUACUAAGAAUCUCCCCGGCCCAAGCUGUGAAUAUUUCUUUAACCUUUUCUUACAAAAAAAAUUGGCCUUGCUCCGGCUAGAAAUUUAUUUAAUUAAAAAAAUAGUUUAAAAGCAAAUGCUUUUGUUUUCAAUGAAUUAUCAAGGGAAAUCAAAGUAGUAUCCUAUUGAUAUAUAUCCAGUUGAUAAGGAAGGCUGAUGGCAAAGUUUCAGUGCAUUUUGCUUUCGAUACCCAAUUUAUUUUAUUCUUGGAGAUGCAGCGUUUAUUUAGCUUUUUAUCGAACAGAUUUGGUUGAUUUAUACCUUUGUUUUCGUUUUAUUUCUGUCCUUUUCGUCAUAUAUGCCCUCUCUUGCCCAAGUUUUAUGCCCAUUUCUUCGACUUCGUAUGUGAUCUGAUCUAUGCUCAUUUAGCUCGAUAGAUGAUCGUGGCUGAAGAUGCAAUGUAGAGGCCUGCCUCAAACAAUUUGCUGAAAAUCUGUUGUUUUCAUUUAGUCUAGUUUUCUUAAAUUUGACCUGCGUUUUUUUAUUUUCUGUCACCAAGCAGCCAUUAGUUUGGUUGCUUGUGGUUUUUCUUUUUCUAGGUUUUAAAUAAUUUGGUUGAUUUGAAACUAUUUAAUUUUCCAUUGUCAGCAUCUGUAAUGUUCAUUAGGUCGAUCAUUUCACGAGUUCAAUAUGUUAUAUUUUUGCAUAUGGGUUAUAUUUAAGUAAAUUGAUAUAGUCUGUGAUUUGCUUUACAAAUUCAAAUGGAUAUAUAUAAUGUGCAGAAAUCUCCAUCAAUGUAUUUACUAUUGUCCUUAACAACAAAAACAAAAGGUAAAUAUGCUGCAGUGAUAUACCAUUCUCUUUUAUCACCCAAGUUGGAGAUAGCGAGUGGUGGGUUCAGUUCUUGUUGGCAUGCAGUAAUCUUAUUAGGAUGCAGAAUAAGAGUUUUGAGUUCCUUAUUCUAGUUACUACAAUGUAUAAAUGAUGGAGAAUUCAUCAACCCAGGUAUUCAUAGAUGCAAUUUGGGGUGGAUGGAACACAGCUGGAGCUGUAGUUGGGGAUUUUGGUUUUGUUAUCAUUGAUUAAGGUACAAGUAUUGAUGAAAUUACAAGUACAGCAACCAAGAGCCGAGCAAAGCAUUCGAGGAUAUAGAACUAUUAAUUUAUGUAAAAAUCCUUCGCGGGCUAUAAAAAAAUAUUUAUUGGUUUUCCCAUGCAGUGUGUGGUUUGGACUUUACAUUUGUUUCAUGGGUUGUAAAAAAUAUUUGUGAGUUCAUUUUAACAGAUGUUGGUGUGAUUUUAUAUUAGUAUCAGGUUGAUAGA